rnacentral:lncRNA from 1 species
CCCUUAAAAAAAUGUUAAGUGUGUCCUCACUUUAAUCAGUUUGUAGUCUGAGAAUUCCACUAUUUAGCUUGAUCAUUUCCAAAAGCUCCUCCAUCUGCACUAUGAAAAGUCUUAAUAUUACGCACAGUUAACAAUGCUUUUAAUUAACAAAAUUCUCACCUAUAUGGGAUAAAAAUUAGAAAUACAUAUUAGAUGUGUCUUUGAUCAGCCUUAUGCUAAUCUAUAUUUUAUCAUGCAGUAAUCUAAAGCAAAGCAAGUUUUUUGUUUUUUUUUAAAGUUUCUUGGAAAUCUUGACAGCUUCAAAUAUUUAGACCCAUUUAGUUCUAAUACAAGUUCAUCUUUAUUGUCAAAGUAAAAGCAAUAUUCUUGUAAUAACUAUGUAAAUGCAAAUGAGAACCUUCUUCUCAGAGUACUUCUCACGCUCUAGGAUUUACUAAUUCUUCCUCCUUUCCUCUUAAAUAGGGUUAAUUGUUCAAGGCCAACAAAGAGCAGUUCUUUUGGAUUUUGAUAAAGAGAAAAUUUGGGGAUACAUUAGCAAGUGUGCCUGAUGUAAGCAGCUAAACACAAUAGCCAGCAUAGUCAUUAACACUGCCUGACAUAUUCAAGAAAGAACUGGCAUAGCUAAAUGUGAUUGAUGUGUGUUUAUUGUCAGAAUCAAAACUUCUUAGAGUCCACGGUUGUGUGUGAACACACUGGAUGUUUUCAUCAUCAGCUCAAUUAAAUGGGUUCACUGUAGAAAGGGAAAAAAGCCAAUGAAAGAUAUCUA